rnacentral:rRNA from 1 species
CUACGGGACGCACCAGUCGAGAAUCUUCCGCAAUGGGCGAAAGCCUGACGGAGCAAUGCCGCGUGCAGGAUGAAGGCCUUCGGGUCGUAAACUGCUGUCACCGGGGAUGAAUAAUGACAGUACCCGGGGAGGAAGUCACGGCUAACUACGUGCCAGCAGCCGCGGUAAUACGUAGGUGACAAGCGUUGUUCGGUUUUAUUGGGCGUAAAGGGUUCGUAGGAUGUUGAUUAAGAUCGGUGUGAAAUCCCAAGGCUCAACCUUGGAACUGCAUUGAUUACUGAUGAACUAGAGUGUCGUAGAGGAAAGCGGAAUUCCAGGUGUAGCGGUGGAAUGCGUAGAUAUCUGGAAGAACACCGACAGCGAAGGCAGCUUUCUGGGCGACAACCGACUCUGAGGAACGAAAGCAUGGGGAGCAAACAGGAUUAGAUACCCGGGUAGUC